UACGUAGGGGGCAAGCGUUGGCCGGAAUCAUUGGGCGUAAAGCGCGUGUAGGCGGCCCGAUAAGUCCGCUGUGAAAGUCCAGGGCUCAACCCUGGAAUGCCGGUGGAUACUGUCGGGCUCGAGUCCGGAAGAGGCGAGUGGAAUUCCUGGUGUAGCGGUGAAAUGCGCAGAUAUCAGGAGGAACACCAAUGGCGAAGGCAGCUCGCUGGGACGGUACUGACGCUGAGACGCGAAAGCGUGGGGAGCAAACAGG
rnacentral:rRNA from 1 species